CAGGAGAAAUGUCUGGGAUUUGGUUAAUCACCUCAGCCUCGUGGAAAGGGCAGGGGGGCAAGCCAGAGGGAAUGGGAAAACCUGCUGGAGGCUCCAGGAGAAGGACGCUGAGCUGGAAGGAGAUAAGUACGCAUGGGGGCUUCGAGCUGGUGGGAGAAGAGAGGAGCUGGAGGAAGGAAUCCCACGCUUGAAGGGGUUUUUCACUACUCCUUCCCAGACAUCAGCCAGCAAUCCGGCGGCCGAGGGGGGAAGCAGUAGGGUGGGGAGGGAGAGGGUAGAGGGAAGAACGAGGGGGGAGCACACACUGGCAUUGAAUUGGUCUUUCCCUCCUUCUGCUUGCCACCAGGCAAUAAAUUCGGGUCUUGUUAUUUCUCCCUAUCACCUCUACCUGCUUGGAAGCCUUUAGCACCUCCCUUGUGAUCUCUGCAGGUACUGCUUUGGAGACAUGACCGCACACACAGACACACACACUCACACUUAUCCUGCACCCAAAUUACAGGGUUACACGGAGCCCAGUCAAUACCUCCGCACCACAGAUAACAUGUUUCCUCCCCACCUUCUGCUAUUGACCGUGGGUGGAUCUCUGCCGCUAAUUAGAGACACUGAAAUCCUGGAAAUAUCAACCACAAAUAGCACUCUGAAGACACUUGUCCCUUUUUUAAAUGUAACGCGUUUAUUUCCCUUGGUCCUUUUCUCUUUUUCUUUCGAAGAAGCCCCUACUUGAUUCAAGAGCCCGACUUCUACCAUCUACCUCUACAUCAGGUAUAGGUGGGCACACGUUUUCCUGCGCUCCUCAGGAGCCAAUUUUUGGCCAGUGAAAAAUACAGGUAUGCCCGAAAAUGGUGAUAAAUGAAAUCAGGUGCGAUGGGAUAAAGAAGUGAGGAAGGAGGCUGCAGAGAAGCCGUGGCGGCAGCAGGAUAGAAGCCCCGGCCGCCGACCCCGCUGUGCCCCGCACCCCCGGCCACGCCGCCUGGCCACUGCCACCUCCCAGCACCUGCCAGACGACAUGGGCUCUGGAAAUCCUUCCCCAUCCCUUCUGGAGAAUCCUUCUCCGCCCCCAGUCCUGUCCAAGUUCUUCAGGGCAUGGGGAAGAGCAAUUAAAUUUUCCGCCUGAUCUCCCCCCGCAGGUUCCCAGACAUUCCCCAGGCGCGCUGCCGGUCCCCUCGGCCAGCAGCAAUGCUGAGCUUUCCCCGGCACGGGGAGAAGCGCUGAGCCCUUCCAGAGCCCGCUGCAAGGGUUAACCCGGGGGAUGGAGCAGCAUCCUUCCCGUUGGAAACACGCCACCUGAACGCGAGAUCAAACCUACUCACCGGGUGAAAUUGCAGGAGGCGAAGCGGCUGGGAAUAAAACGCAUCCCGGCUCCAAGCAUAUAGUCCAUGAUCUGCGGCUUCAAGCUAGAGCAGGCUGAGCAGGGUGGGGGGACUGUGGGAACCAGCAGCGGUUCUGUGUAUGUGACAACCCAUUUACACCGUGCGUGCCCGUCUGUGCGUGUGUGUAGGGCAGAGAGAGGCUCCAAACCCAAACGGGGGGAAAGAGGGAGGGGAGAAGGAGGAGGAGAGAGGGAAGCAAACCCGAAUAGCAAGAGGAGUUGCGAAGAGGGAUGGGAUUCGCUGGGGUAGAUUUGGGUUUUUUUGGUGGUGAUGGAAGCUAUUCUCGAGGAAAAAAAAAUAACAGAUUGUGGGCUCAGCCGCAGGCAGGAGGAGAGCAGCUUUGCCCACACAGGUGGAACACAGGCAAGCCCGCAGCGAGCCGGGAGGGCCAGAGACAGCCGGAGCUCAUCCCGGGGGCCGGGCAGUGACGGGGAGCCGAGCCCGAGAUGGGGAGAGCGAUAUCCCGGGGGCAGCUCCGGGAGCGGGCUGGGCACGGGCACAGCGCGCCCGCAGGCUGCGGGUGGCGCGGCAGCAGCAUCCUUCCUCCGCCUCCUCCUCCUCCUCCUCCUCCUGCACCCACAACCCAGCGAGCCGCGGCGGCGAUACCGGCCGGCCCUCCUUCCCGCAUCCUCCCCGGCUCUCCCUGCGAGCCCGGCACGGAAGGGCUGCAGAGAUCCUGAAGCGGGGAUGCUGCUUGUGGGAGCUGGACGGGGACGCGACAGCGUUUGUGAUGGGCGGACAUGUCCCUGCUCAUCCCCCGUGUCCCUCUGCUGCCCCGGGUAAGGGAGCAUCGCCCCUCCAUUGCCGCCGCUUCUCGAUGCUUCCAGGCUCUUGGCAUGGAAAUAAUGCCCUGGCUCCGCGGAAAAACCCCCUUUUCCUCGCACGGUGACUCCGGAAUGCGUGCGGAAUUGGAAGGUGCGUGGGGCAGAGGGAGGCAGCGGCAUUUAUGGAGCUUGAUGUGUGUCCCCCCCUCUCCUGGUCCCCGUGCUGGAAGCAGACAGGCGUUCAUGGCUAAUAAAAAUGCUUUUCCCCGGGUGUAGGUGGGCUGAGAGCGAGUGAACUGAGCCCAGCCCGUGUCAGGGAGCAGCGAGCAGACCAACACACGGAGCUGUGGCAUCCCUGCGGUGCAGCACGGCUGUGUGCUCCUCACGCCUAGCAGGAUCCAUCAGCACAGCAGCCAUGCAGAUUAGGUGAUGGAUGUGCCAGGCAAUAUGGAGAGAUCAUACACCAGCACUUGUCUGCUGUGCUCUAUGUGCUCUUUAAGAGAGAGAGUAAUUUCUGGGUUUUUAUUAAAAAAGCUUUUUGUCUUCUUUCUGUUAUCUCCGUAAUUACCAGUGUGAAGCAUUCGUGCCUGUUUGCCAGUCUGGCAGUUUUAUGUUCCAGAACCUGCUGGGAAAAAGUCAGAAAUCGCAGAAGCCCAAGAUUUCUUUGUCAUCACAUUGGUUUGUUCCUCUCAGCAUAUUUAAUCAUUAAUUCACUCCACGAAUUGCUCAGUGGAGUGAGCUGAUCUUAGCAAUGAUUUACGCUGCUGGGGGCUUUAUUGAUUUUUUUUCUUUAGCGAGCACGUAAGAAAAGGAGUGUAGGAAGGAUCACACAGUUUGUAAAAAAAAAAAAAUAAAAUAUAGAUAUAUAUAUGUAUAUAAUCAGUGUACGUUUCAGUAGUCGCUGUUAAACAUAUAUACGAUUCUUUAUGCAAUUAUAAAAACAAAAGGUCUCUCUGCCUCAGGAUAUGAUUUCUCUUAUAGCAACAGGUAGCAAAGGCUCCUGUGCCCCCUCUCUCCCCUUAUCUCCUCCCCUUCAGCUCCUGCUGACAAAGCGCCGGUUUAAAAGGUCAGCCUGUUUAUGCAAAUAUUGUGGGUUUCUUAACAAAGACUGCCGCACAUCAAGCUGAAAUAACUGCCAGAUAGACUUGGGAUUCGAGGCAUUGGGGAAGGGUGCUGUCCAUUUCCUAGGGCUGGUUAAAAACUCGGAGGAAACAAAGCACAGCUGGAGCUUGGCUGGGAUGGAUGGGCAGCAGCACCGUCUCGGCAGAGUUUGGUACUGCAGUGUCCAUCGCACCUUGGCGCUGCCUGGUGCGAGAGAGACCCACAAAAUGUGCAAGGAGACAUUUGCUGCUGUGCUAAUGCCUUUCUGCUCUCUUCUUCAGGUUUCUUCUUCUCUCUAGCCAUGUCCUAGGCUGAACUUGCUCUGCGGCUUGUUCACACCAAAGGUAGAUUUAAUCAGCCAAGGAGGAUUUUGAGUCUGACCAACCUCACCCUCCCCAUGAAACAGAUUGACUUCAUUGGUCUUUGGCUCAGACACUUCAUAAUAAGGUGGAGUUCCUAUCUCAUAGCAUCCAGAGGUGCAGUGGACAUAGUCUGGUCUUUAUUUCCCUCCCUGCCCCCUUCUUUCACCUACAGAGCAGGAUGUUUCCUCAGGUAAUAUCAACUCUUCUGGUCCUUUUCCACUUUAAAUUUAACAAGAAUAUUCUGAUUUUAUUCACUUCAUAGGAUCACAGAAUUAUGGAAUAGUUAAUUUGGGAAGGGACCUUAAAGAUGAUCUAAUUCCAGCCCCUUGUCACAUCCCACAGGAAUAGGCUGCUCAGAAAAGAUUAUGUCCAUUACCAAAAGGUUAAAAAAGUUACUUUGGAAUUACAACACAGAUCUUUCCCUGUGGUCAAGUCCAAGACCUAAUUGCCACCACAGUUUGAUUUGAGCCCUCAAAACCAUUCUAAAGCAGAGUUAAAGGGUUGUAGAGGAUUAUGAUGUCUUUUGUUCAGCGGUGUUAAUAACCUAUGGCCUUAAAAUAGGAUAUUAUAAAAUCUCGUUUUAGGGCAGAGUCCUGAAGCCACAAACAAUGGAGCAAAAUUGCACUUGAACGAGGCAGAAGCUUACAUCACCACCAAAAAUGCUAAAUGCAGAUUGGGACCCUGUAUGCAGCAGAAUCAUGUGAGGGAGAAGUGGAGCAUCAAAUUCUCUCUUCCCAAAAGCCUUUUGGCCCUGAAUUAGAGGUCAUUAGAGUCCUUUGUCCUGUAAAUCUGCAUUUAACAGCAGUGUGUAUCUGUGUAGGUAAAUACAUUUUAACAGCUUAUCGCAUCAUAUCUUUUUUCUACUUCAUAUUAUCAACCCUUUGAUCCUGUUUCUUCCUGAACCUGCUAAGAGAUUCUUCUUUAACUACUGAAAAAUGUAUGUAAUUUAUUAAGGCAUUUCAGUAGUUACUCUAAGUUUGCAACAGGCAAACCUAUUAUGCAAACACUACUGUCACCUUCUUGCAGUGACUUCCUUCUCCCAGCUAUAAUGAAUUCCCUGCAUGCUACUUUGCUGUAAAUUCUCCAUCUAAAAAUUCCAUACACUAUGUGAUGUGUCAGGAGAAACUGUACUUGACUUUUGAAACAGUUGGGAGGAGCAGAAUGAUAACCUACUAAAGUGCCUUGCCCUUAACUGAAAUUAUGGCAAGUAAUUAAAGUUAGAGCAAAAAGA